rnacentral:rRNA from 1 species
AUUGAACGCUGGCGGCAGGCUUAACACAUGCAAGUCGAACGAUGAUUAUCUAGCUUGCUAGAUAUGAUUAGUGGCGGACGGGUGAGUAACAUUUAGGAAUCUGCCUAGUAGUGGGGGAUAGCUCGGGGAAACUCGAAUUAAUACCGCAUACGACCUACGGGUGAAAGGGGGCGCAAGCUCUUGCUAUUAGAUGAGCCUAAAUCAGAUUAGCUAGUUGGUGGGGUAAAGGCCCACCAAGGCGACGAUCUGUAACUGGUCUGAGAGGAUGAUCAGUCACACCGGAACUGAGACACGGUCCGGACUCCUACGGGAGGCAGCAGUGGGGAAUAUUGGACAAUGGGGGCAACCCUGAUCCAGCCAUGCCGCGUGUGUGAAGAAGGCCUUUUGGUUGUAAAGCACUUUAAGCAGGGAGGAGAGGCUAAUGGUUAAUACCCAUUAGAUUAGACGUUACCUGCAGAAUAAGCACCGGCUAACUCUGUGUCAGCAGCCGCGGUAAUACAGAGGGUGCGAGCGUUAAUCGGAAUUACUGGGCGUAAAGCGAGUGUAGGUGGCUCAUUAAGUCACAUGUGAAAUCCCCGGGCUUAACCUGGGAACUGCAUGUGAUACUGGUGGUGCUAGAAUAUGUGAGAGGGAAGUAGAAUUCCAGGUGUAGCGGUGAAAUGCGUAGAGAUCUGGAGGAAUACCGAUGGCGAAGGCAGCUUCCUGGCAUAAUAUUGACACUGAGAUUCGAAAGCGUGGGUAGCAAACAGGAUUAGAUACCCUGGUAGUCCACGCCGUAAACGAUGUCUACUAGCCGUUGGGGUCCUUGAGACUUUAGUGGCGCAGUUAACGCGAUAAGUAGACCGCCUGGGAAGUACGGCCGCAAGGUUAAAACUCAAAUGAAUUGACGGGGGCCCGCACAAGCGGUGGAGCAUGUGGUUUAAUUCGAUGCAACGCGAAGAACCUUACCUGGUCUUGACAUAGUGAGAAUCCUGCAGAGAUGCGGGAGUGCCUUCGGGAAUUCACAUACAGGUGCUGCAUGGCUGUCGUCAGCUCGUGUCGUGAGAUGUUGGGUUAAGUCCCGCAACGAGCGCAACCCUUUUCCUUAUUUGCCAGCGGGUUAAGCCGGGAACUUUAAGGAUACUGCCAGUGACAAACUGGAGGAAGGCGGGGACGACGUCAAGUCAUCAUGGCCCUUACGACCAGGGCUACACACGUGCUACAAUGGUAGGUACAGAGGGUUGCUACACAGCGAUGUGAUGCUAAUCUCAAAAAGCCUAUCGUAGUCCGGAUUGGAGUCUGCAACUCGACUCCAUGAAGUCGGAAUCGCUAGUAAUCGCAGAUCAGAAUGCUGCGGUGAAUACGUUCCCGGGCCU